CAAUAGCGUAUAUUUAAGUUGCUGCAGUUAAAAAGCUCGUAGUUGGAUUUCGGGUGGGAAUGGCCGGUCCGCCGUUUCGGGGUGCACUUGCUACGCCCACCUUGCUGCCGGGGACGUGCUCUUGAGUUCACGCUCGGGACACGGAGUCGGCGAGGUUACUUUGAGUAAAUUAGAGUGUUCAAAGCAGGCCUACGCUCUGAAUACAUUAGCAUGGAAUAACACGAUAGGACUCUGGCCUAUCUUGUUGGUCUGUAGGACCGGAGUAAUGAUUAAGAGGGACAGUCGGGGGCAUUCGUAUUUCAUUGUCAGAGGUGAAAUUCUUGGAUUUACGAAAGACGAACUACUGCGAAAGCAUUUGCCAAGGAUGUUUUCAUUAA
rnacentral:rRNA from 1 species